UCGGGAAUUUUGGACAAUGGGCGCAAGCCUGAUCCAGCCAUGCCGCGUGAGUGAUGAAGGCCCUAGGGUUGUAAAACUCUUUCGCCGGAGAAGAUAAUGACGGUAUCCGGAGAAGAAGCCCCGGCUAACUUCGUGCCAGCAGCCGCGGUAAUACGAAGGGGGCUAGCGUUGUUCGGAAUUACUGGGCGUAAAGCGCACGUAGGCGGGUUUGUAAGUAGGGGGUGAAAUCCCAGGGCUCAACCCUGGAACUGCCUUCUAAACUGCAAGCCUGGAGGUCAGGAGAGGCGAGUGGAAUACCCAGUGUAGAGGUGAAAUUCGUAGAUAUUGGGAAGAACACCAGUGGCGAAGGCGGCUAACUGGUCCGGUACUGACGCUGAGGUGCGAAAGCGUGGGGAGCAAACAGGAUUAGAUACCCUAGUAGUCCCUGAGCGGGCUGGCAAGGCGCAU
rnacentral:rRNA from 1 species